rnacentral:rRNA from 1 species
AUGGGGAAGAUAAACUGGAUCUGGCUAAUUCAGUCCGGAAGACCAGGGAGGCACUUGCACUUUUGGAUGUCCCUCGGCACCAGGUUUUUGUGUUACCAGGACAUGGUUGGCGCCCCUGAGGCCGACCUCGUGAAAAUCAACACUGAUGCUGCUGUUCGGCGCGAGGAAGGGAAAGGUGGAGGAGGCGGCGUGGCAAGAUCGCCAAGAUCCUUCCUUGGAGCUUGGAGCAAACCAUACCCAGGUGUGACGGAUCCUCUCAUCGCGGAGGCGAUGGCAGUGCGAGACGGUGUCAUCUUUGCCAGGCUGAGGGGCUUUACGAGCGUCGUCCUCGAGAUGGAUUGUUUGGAGGUGGUUAACCUCUGGAUCAAUCGCCAUGACUCGCGUGCAGUCAUGGCACCAAUCUUAGUAGAAAUUGGAGAGCUAGCUAGCACUUUAUCUCUUUUUGUAAUUGAACAUGUAUCCAGAUCAGCGAACGGUCCUACUCACCUUUGUGCUAAGCAUGCUUGCACAAUUGAAGUGACUGAGAGCUGGCUUGACAGUACCCUAGCUUCCUGA